UGACAAUACAAUUGUAAUGUAUUUUAACAAGAAUACACUGGAGUGUACGUGGUGGGUGUCCUUCAAACUCUCAAAUGUCCAGGAAAGCCAGACCCUUCAAACAGAACAAUCAAGGCUGCAGAGACUGACUGCAUCAUCAUCCUUCUCUCGUCGCUUCCUCUUCUGGUGAAGUCCCAGUGUGGUCCUGGAGUGAGGAAUGUGAAAGAGCUGCCUCGUCUC
rnacentral:lncRNA from 1 species